rnacentral:rRNA from 1 species
CCUGAUCGGUGCGAUCACGAUUCCUGAAGA